rfam:Valsa mali var. pyri strain SXYL134 unplaced genomic scaffold scaffold00029, whole genome shotgun sequence.
UCGGGUAUAGUGUAGCGGUAACAUACAUGACUCUCAUGGUCAAAUCCUCUUAGAGGUGAUCAUUAGUCUCUCAUGAGCCCGGGGUUCGACUCCCCGUAUCCGAA